ACAGCAGUAGCCACGGUAAUACGAAGGGUGCAAGCGUUACUCGGAAUUACUGGGCGUAAAGCGUGCGUAGGUGGUGGUUUAAGUCCGUUGUGAAAGCCCUGGGCUCAACCUGGGAAUUGCAGUGGAUACUGGGUCACUAGAGUGUGGUAGAGGAUAGUGGAAUUUCCGGUGUAGCAGUGAAAUGCGUAGAGAUCGGAAGGAACAUCUGUGGCGAAGGCGACUAUCUGGGCCAACACUGACACUGAGGCACGAAAGCGUGGGGAGCAAACAGGAUUAGAGACCCCUGUAGUCCCUGUCUCUUAUAC
rnacentral:rRNA from 1 species